GGCUUUUGGGUUUUAUUCCUCCGCAUGGAGGUGGGGAGCAGCCAAUGAGAUCACACCUCGCCCAUGACAUCACUGCCAGAGCAGGGUGACGUCACAACCACAUCAAGGUGACGUCAUAAUGAUGUCAACUGGGGGCGGGGGAGGGCGUGGCUCUGUCUGCUGUGAUGUCAUCGGUGAUGUCAUUGCGCUGGCGUCAGUGGUGGGGCUGUUGGCCCUGCUGGUGCUGUUGGUGAUGUCACUGAUGAUGUCAUUGAUGAUGUCAUCAGUGACAUUGACUCUGUUGACAAUGCUGGUGGUCACUUUGGUGCUGUUGAUGACGUCAUUGGCCACGUUGCUGCUGGUGUGAUGUCAUUGGCUGUGCUGGUCUUGUUGAUGAUGUCAUUGGCAAUGCUCUUGGGUGCGUUGAAGCUGCUGCUGACGUCAUUGGCCAUGUUGACGCCAUCGGUGACGUCAUUGACUGUGCUGGCACCACGGGUGAUGCUGUUGAUGACAUCAUUGUGACUAUGUUGAUGCCAUUGACGUUGUGUCAUUGGUGAUGUCAUUGACCGUGCUGGUCCUGUUGGUGAUGUCAUUGGCGGUGUUGAUGCCGUUGAUGACGUCAUUGGCCAUGUUGAUGCUGUUGAUGACGUCAUUGACCACAUUGACGCCAUUGAUGAUGCGUCAUCGGGGAUGUCAUUGGCCAUGUUGAUGCCAUUGGUGACGUCAUUGACUGCACUGGUCUUGCUGUUGACGUCAUUGGCCAUGCUGACGAUGUUGAUGACGUCAUUGACGCCAUUGAUGAUGCGUCAUUGGGGAUGUCAUUGGCCAUGUUGGUGCCAUUGAUGACGUCAUUGACCUCAUUGCUGCCAUCAAUGGCGUCACAGACCACAUUAACGCCAUUGGUGCUGCGCCAGCGGCGACGUCAUCGACUGCACUGACACUGCCAAUGACAUCACUGACGGCGCUGAUGCCACCAAUGACGUCACAGCCCGUGACGUCAGAGUCCGCGCUGGUGCCGGGGUCGGGCGAUGGUGUCGGUCCAGCAGGGGACGCCGCGGAAGGG
rnacentral:lncRNA from 1 species